GAUGAACGCUGGCGGCGUGCCUAAUACAUGCAAGUCGAGCGAACGGACGAGAAGCUUGCUUCUCUGAUGUUAGCGGCGGACGGGUGAGUAACACGUGGAUAACCUACCUAUAAGACUGGGAUAACUUCGGGAAACCGGAGCUAAUACCGGAUAAUAUUUUGAACCGCAUGGUUCAAAAGUGAAAGACGGUCUUGCUGUCACUUAUAGAUGGAUCCGCGCUGCAUUAGCUAGUUGGUAAGGUAACGGCUUACCAAGGCAACGAUGCAUAGCCGACCUGAGAGGGUGAUCGGCCACACUGGAACUGAGACACGGUCCAGACUCCUACGGGAGGCAGCAGUAGGGAAUCUUCCGCAAUGGGCGAAAGCCUGACGGAGCAACGCCGCGUGAGUGAUGAAGGUCUGCGGAUCGUAAAACUCUGUUAUUGGGGAAGAACAUAUGUGUAAGUAACUGUGCACAUCUUGACGGUACCUAAUCAGAAAGCCACGGCUAACUACGU
rnacentral:rRNA from 1 species